GAUGAAGAACGUAGCGAAAUGCGAUAAGUAAUGUGAAUUGCAGAAUUCAGUGAAUCAUCGAAUCUUUGAACGCACAUUGCGCCCGCCAGCAUUCUGGCGGGCAUGCCUGUUCGAGCGUCAUUUCAACCCUCGAGCCCCCCCGGGGGCCUCGGUGUUGGGGGACGGCACACCAGCCGCCCCCGAAAUGCAGUGGCGACCCCGCCGCAGCCUCCCCUGCGUAGUAGCACACACCUCGCACCGGAGCGCGGAGGCGGUCACGCCGUAAAACGCCCAACUUUCUUAGAGUUGACCUCGGAUCAGGUAGGAAUACCCGCUGAACUUAAGCAUAACAAUAAGCGGAGGA
rnacentral:misc_RNA from 1 species